CUGACACACCGGCACGUGCCAAGCUCAUGGAGCGAAACCUGUGUCGAUGCGUGUGUUGCUUUAAGAAAAAGUCACGUGACCAACACUGCUGCUGUGUUGCUCAUUGCCAAGGCGCCAAACUGUGUUUAUAAGGUAUCGACUCUGCAUCUGUCAACGGGAUGAGUCGCCGUGAAAAGAAGAAAAUGACCAUUUCAAAGAUAAAACAAGACAUCCCUCUCUCCAUCAACAGAAUGGAGCCAGAGAGGAAAAGAAGUUUCUGCUGUGUGGGAUCAUUUUGAUCUUUUAACUGCUAAUAAGGUUAAAUGUCGGAUCUGCUCAGUGGAGUUGUCUUUUACAAAUAAGAGCACUUCCUCAAUGCUGAGACAUUAAGAGUCAAGCAUGAAAAGGAAGAGGAAGCAAACACACCAAGAACGAACACAAAAUCUAGGAAGAUUGCUCUGGACUAAGCAGUCCUGAAUUUUAUUAUAAAGGACUGCCAACCCCUGAGUAUUGUGGAGAGUGAGGGGUUCAGGGGGUUGAAUCAGGUCCUUGAUCCAUCUUACGCUUUGCCAACCAGAAAGACAGUUAAGGAAAUGAUGGCCAAAAAGCAGGCGGAGGAACUCGAGCGAGUAAAAAGGAAGUACAGCAAGCUGUGGCAGUGAGUAUAACAGCUGACAUGUGGACCUCCUUGAACACGGAGGCUUACUCAGCUCUUACUUAGCUCUUAUAUGCAGUUGUGUACAUCUAUGUUGGGAGUCAAACACUUUCCACAAAGUCACACUGCUGACAAGUCAAAAGGGGCAUGAUGGAUGACUGGGCCAUAACAAACAAGGUAAGGUGUCUUGUGACCGACGCAGCACCAAACAUGAUGGCAGCAAAACAAAUUCUUCAAAUUCGACAUUCAAUCUGCAUUUUGCACACAAACUAAAUUUAAUAGUCAAAAAAUCCUGUGAUCAGAUCCCUUAACUUUCAUCCAUAAGACACAAAUCUAGGCAGAUUGUAUAAUUCUUCAGAUCCAGCAGCACAGCUAAAGAGAAGCUUGCUCAAGUGCAGCAACAGAUGGGACGGCCCACCUUGAAACUUGCCAAUGAGGUACCAACACGUUGGAACAGCACAUAUCAGAUGCUGUCACGGCUACAUGAUGAGAAAGAACCAGUGUGGGUAUCUCUUGCCUCUCCAGACAGAUUUAACUCCACUCACAGCUGAUGAGUUCAACGUCUUAAGGGAAGCACUUCUUGUGCUGGCCCCUUUCCAUCAGGCCACAGUGGAGUUGU